rnacentral:tRNA from 1 species
GGAGGCGAAUGGGGCCUGGUGGCUCUCGCGGGCUUCAAACCCGUUGGGAUUCACUGAGAGGUGGAUCCGGUGAGUUCGAUUCUCACACGCCUCCGCCA